rnacentral:rRNA from 1 species
UACGGAGGGUGCAAGCGUUAAUCGGAAUCACUGGGCGUAAAGCGCACGUAGGCGGCUUGUUAAGUCGGGGGUGAAAUCCUGGAGCUCAACUCCAGAACUGCCCUCGAUACUGAUGAGCUCGAGUCCGGGAGAGGUGAGUGGAACUGCGAGUGUAGAGGUGAAAUUCGUAGAUAUUCGCAAGAACACCAGUGGCGAAGGCGGCUCACUGGCCCGGUACUGACGCUGAGGUGCGAAAGCGUGGGGAGCAAACAGG